GACGAACGCUGGCGGCGUGCCUAACACAUGCAAGUCGAACGGGGUAAUCCUUCGGGGUUACUUAGUGGCGAACGGGUGAGUAACACGUGGAUAACCUGCCCUCGGCACCGGAAUAGCCCGGGGAAACCCGGAUUAAUGCCGGAUGGCCCCACAUCCCUGCGGGGAACGUGGGAAAAGGUAGCUUCGGCCUCUGGCCGAGGAUGGGUCCGCGGUGGAUUAGCUUGUUGGCGGGGUAAUGGCCCACCAAGGCGACGAUCCAUAGCUGGUCUGAGAGGACGAUCAGCCACACUGGGACUGAGACACGGCCCAGACUCCUACGGAGGCAGCAGUGGGGAAUCUUGCGCCAAUGGGCGAAAGCCUGACGCAGCGACGCCGCGUGCGGGAAGAAGGCCUUAGGGUUGUAAACCGCUUUCAGGAGGGACGAAGCCACUCGGGUGAAUAGCCCAGAGGGUGACGGUACCUCCAGAAGAAG
rnacentral:rRNA from 1 species